UACAGAGGUCCCAAGCGUUGUUCGGAAUUACUGGGCGUAAAGGGCGCGUAGGCGGCCACCGCAAGUCAGUUGUGAAAUCUCCGAGCUUAACUCGGAAAGGUCAACUGAUACUGCGGGGCUAGAGUGCGGAAGGGGCAACUGGAAUUCUUGGUGUAGCGGUGAAAUGCGUAGAUAUCAAGAGGAACACCUGCGGCGAAGGCGGGUUGCUGGGCCGACACUGACGCUGAGGCGCGAAAGCUAGGGGAGCGAACGGG
rnacentral:rRNA from 1 species